rnacentral:rRNA from 1 species
GUAGGUGGCAAGCGUUGUCCGGAAUUAUUGGGCGUAAAGCGCGCGCAGGCGGUCCUUUAAGUCUGAUGUGAAAGCCCACGGCUCAACCGUGGAGGGUCAUUGGAAACUGGGGGACUUGAGUACAGAAGAGGAAAGCGGAAUUCCAAGUGUAGCGGUGAAAUGCGUAGAGAUUUGGAGGAACACCAGUGGCGAGGCGGCUUUCUGGUCUGUAACUGACGCUGAGGCGCGAAAGCGUGGGGAGCAAACAGGAUUAGAUACCCUGGUAGUCCACGCCGUAAACGAUGAGUGCUAAGUGUUAGGGGGUUUCCCGCCCCCUUAGUGCUGCAGCUAACGCAUUAAGCACUCCGCCUGGGGAGUACGGCCGCAAGGCUG